CGUAGGGUGCAAGCGUUGUUCGGAAUCAUUGGGCGUAAAGCGCGUGCAGGCGGUUAGUUAAGUUGAGUGUGAAAUCCCUGGGCUUAACCGAGGAAGUGCAUUCAAAACUAAUUAGCUAGAAGACAGUAGAGGAAGGUGGAAUUCCAAGUGUAGAGGUGAAAUUCGUAGAUAUUUGGAGGAAUACCGGUGGCGAAGGCGGCCUUCUGGGCUGUUCUUGACGCUGAGACGCGAAAGCGUGGGUAGCAAACAGGAUUAGAUACCCUGGUAGUCCACGCCGUAAACGAUGGGUACUAGGUGUUGCAGGAAUUGACCCCUGCAGUGCCGACGCUAACGCAUUAAGUACCCCGCCUGGGAAGUACGGCCGCAAGGUUA
rnacentral:rRNA from 1 species